rnacentral:lncRNA from 1 species
UCCAUUUUGAUCAGUAAAUAAUCUUGUAGGAUUUUUAGAUCCUGUUUUACCUCCUGCACAGUAUUUUUAUCAGGAAAGACCUUUCAUUUCACCUCUUAGAAGUCAGCACUGUCUUUAGCCUUAUCCAGGUAUUUGAUAGUUCAUACAUGUUCUGUGUGCUUUCAAAGUACUAUCGAUGACUCAGAGUUUCUGUCAACCAGUUCUUUACAUAUGCUGCGACAUCCACCAAGAUCAGAUGAUUUGAAAACAUAUUCCUGCUGUUUAAUUUCCUUUGUAGUUUUCAGAAUGGUUUGAGAGUUUUAAUGACCCUACAAAAUCACUAAUGUCAAAACAUGUCAUUAAGAUGUAGAAGAAAAAUGAAGAAGAGCUCAUACAGUAGAAACUAAUGUGGGGGCAGCACAAGGAGACCAUGAACCUUACAGCACCAGUGGGCCUGUUGGCAUGAACUUGGAUUAAAAGAUGAGACAAAUGAUGAAAUGUAUGAAAUCUCUCAUACCUGUUUCCUAGACAAAUCUUGAGAAAAAUCUAUGUCUAGUUCUAAUCUGAUCUACCUGAAAUCCAUUUCCUUCCCCAAAUAUUCUGGGAACUCUGCUUUUAAAGAACAACAGACUUCUUUCCCUGCUGAUUAGAUAACCC